rnacentral:rRNA from 1 species
CCUACGGGGGGCAGCAGUGGGGAAUAUUGCACAAUGGGGGAAACCCUGAUGCAGCGACGCCGCGUGAGUGAAGAAGUAUCUCGGUACGUAAAGCUCUAUCAGCAGGGAAGAAAAUGACGGUACCUGACUAAGAAGCCCCGGCUAACUACGUGCCAGCAGCCGCGAUAAUACGUAGGGGGCAAGCGUUAUCCGGAUUUACUGGGUGUAAAGGGAGCGUAGACGGCAGCACAAGUCUGGAGUGAAAUCCCGGGGCUUAACCCCGGAACUGCUUUGGAAACUGUGCGGCUGGAGUGCAGGAGGGGUAAGCGGAAUUCCUAGUGUAGCGGUGAAAUGCGUAGAUAUUAGGAGGAACACCGGUGGCGAAGGCGGCUUACUGGACUGUAACUGACGUUGAGGCUCGAAAGCGUGGGGAGCAAACAGGAUUAGAUACCCCAGUAGUC